rnacentral:ncRNA from 1 species
AGAUUAGGACGCAGCGCGUUAAGUAUCGCCGGACGGAGGAGUGACGGCGGGCGAAGAGCGCAAGGCUCGCGGUGCGGCGUCCGCUCCCGCU